GACGAACGCUGGCGGCGUGCCUAAUACAUGCAAGUAGAACGCUGAAGAGAGGAGCUUGCUCUUCUUGGAUGAGUUGCGAACGGGUGAGUAACGCGUAGGUAACCUGCCUUGUAGCGGGGGAUAACUAUUGGAAACGAUAGCUAAUACCGCAUAACAAUGGAUGACACAUGUCAUUUAUUUGAAAGGGGCAAUUGCUCCACUACAAGAUGGACCUGCGUUGUAUUAGCUAGUAGGUGAGGUAACGGCUCACCUAGGCGACGAUACAUAGCCGACCUGAGAGGGUGAUCGGCCACACUGGGACUGAGACACGGCCCAGACUCCUACGGGAGGCAGCAGUAGGGAAUCUUCGGCAAUGGGGGCAACCCUGACCGAGCAACGCCGCGUGAGUGAAGAAGGUUUUCGGAUCGUAAAGCUCUGUUGUAAGUCAAGAACGAGUGUGAGAGUGGAAAGUUCACACUGUGACGGUAGCUUACCAGAAGGGGACGGCUAACUACGUGCCAGCAGCCGCGGUAAUACGUAGGUCCCGAGCGUUGUCCGGAUUUAUUGGGCGUAAAGCGAGCGCAGGCGGUUUGAUAAGUCUGAAGUAAAAGGCUGUGGCUCAACCAUAGUUCGCUUUGGAAACUGUCAAACUUGAGUGCAGAAGGGGAGAGUGGAAUUCCAUGUGUAGCGGUGAAAUGCGUAGAUAUAUGGAGGAACACCGGUGGCGAAAGCGGCUCUCUGGUCUGUAACUGACGCUGAGGCUCGAAAGCGUGGGGAGCGAACAGGAUUAGAUACCCUGGUAGUCCACGCCGUAAACGAUGAGUGCUAGGUGUUGGAUCCUUUCCGGGAUUCAGUGCCGCAGCUAACGCAUUAAGCACUCCGCCUGGGGAGUACGACCGCAAGGUUGAAACUCAAAGGAAUUGACGGGGGCCCGCACAAGCGGUGGAGCAUGUGGUUUAAUUCGAAGCAACGCGAAGAACCUUACCAGGUCUUGACAUCCCGAUGCUAUUUCUAGAGAUAGAAAGUUACUUCGGUACAUCGGUGACAGGUGGUGCAUGGUUGUCGUCAGCUCGUGUCGUGAGAUGUUGGGUUAAGUCCCGCAACGAGCGCAACCCCUAUUGUUAGUUGCCAUCAUUCAGUUGGGCACUCUAGCGAGACUGCCGGUAAUAAACCGGAGGAAGGUGGGGAUGACGUCAAAUCAUCAUGCCCCUUAUGACCUGGGCUACACACGUGCUACAAUGGUUGGUACAACGAGUUGCGAGUCGGUGACGGCAAGCUAAUCUCUUAAAGCCAAUCUCAGUUCGGAUUGUAGGCUGCAACUCGCCUACAUGAAGUCGGAAUCGCUAGUAAUCGCGGAUCAGCACGCCGCGGUGAAUACGUUCCCGGGCCU
rnacentral:rRNA from 1 species